rnacentral:rRNA from 1 species
AUUGAACGCUGGCGGCAGGCUUAACACAUGCAAGUCGAGCGAGAGGCGGACGGGGGAGUAAUGUGUGGGAAACUGCCUGAUGGAGGGGGAUAACUACUGGAAAAGGUAGCUAAUACCGCAUACCCUCAGAUGUGCCCAGAUGGGAGUAGCUAGUAGGUGGGGUGACGGCUCACCUAGGCGACGAUCCCUAGCUGGUCUGAGAGGAUGAGCAGCCACACUGGAACUGAGACACGGUCCAGACUCCUACGUGAGGCAGCAGUGGGGAAUAUUGCACAAUGGGCGCAAGCCUGAUGCAGCCAUGCCGCGUGUGCGAAGAAGGCCUUCGGGUUGUAAAGCACUUUCAGCGGGGAGGCGUUACUCGCAGAAGAAGCACCGGCUAACUCCGUGCCAGCAGCCGCGGUAAUUC